rnacentral:rRNA from 1 species
GUGCCAGCAGCCGCGGUAAUCCCAGCUCCAAUAGCGUAUAUUAAAGUUGUUGUGGUUAAAAAGCUCGUAGUUGAACCUUGGGCCUGGCUGGCCGGUCCGCCUCACCGCGUGCACUGGUCCGGCCGGGCCUUUCCCUCUGUGGAACCCCAUACCCUUCACUGGGCGUGGCGGGGAAACAGGACAUUUACUUUGAAAAAAUUAGAGUGCUCCAGGCAGGCCUAUGCUCGAAUACAUUAGCAUGGAAUAAUAAAAUAGGACGCGCGGUUCUAUUUUGUUGGUUUAUAGGACCGCCGUAAUGAUUAAUAGGGACAGUCGGGGGCAUCAGUAUUCAACUGUCAGAGGUGAAAUUCUUGGAUCAGUUGAAGACUAACUACUGCGAAAGCAUUUGCCAAGGAUGUUUUCAUUAAUCAGGAACGAAAGUUAGGGGAUCGAAGACGAUCAGAUACCGUCGUAGUCUUAACCAUAAACUAUGCCGACUAGGGAUCGGACGGUGUUAUUCAUGACCCGUUCGGCACCUUUACGAGAAAUCAAAGUGCUUGGGCUCCAGGGGGAGUAUGGUCGCAAGGCUGAAACUUAAAGAAAUUGACGGAAGGGCACCACCAGGGGUGGAGCCUGCGGCUUAAUUUGACUCAACACGGGGAAACUCACCAGGUCCAGACACAAUAAGGAUUGACAGAUUGAGAGCUCUUUCUUGAUUUUGUGGGUGGUGGUGCAUGGCCGUUCUUAGUUGGUGGGGUGACUUGUCUGCUCACUGCGAUAACGACGAGACUUACCUGCUAAAUAGCCCGCAUUGCUCCGGCAGUGCGCUGGCUUCUUAGAGGGACUUUCGGCUCAAGCCG